AUACGGGAGGCAGCAGCUAAGAAUAUUCCGCAAUGGACGAAAGUCUGACGGAGCGACGCCGCGUGGAUGAAGAAGGCCGAAAGGUUGUAAAAUCCUUUUGCUGGGGAAGAAUAAGCGUGACAGGAAAUGGUCGCGUGAUGACAUGAACCGGUGAAUAAGCCCCGGCUAACUACGUGCCAGCAGCCGCGGUAACACGUAGGGGGCAAGCGUUGUUCGGAAUUAUUGGGCGUAAAGGGCAUGUAGGCGGUUCUGUAAGUCUGGCGUGAAAUGGUAGGGCUUAACCCUAUCCUGCGUCGGAAACUGCGGGACUAGAAUCACUGAGGGGAAAUCAGAAUUCCAGGUGUAGGGGUGAAAUCUGUAGAUAUCUGGAAGAAUACCAGUGGCGAAGGCGGAUUUCUGGCAGAUGAUUGACGCUGAGGUGCGAAAGCGUGGGGAGCAAACAGGCUUAGAUACCCUGGUAGG
rnacentral:rRNA from 1 species